rnacentral:pre_miRNA from 1 species
AAUGAGAUUGCUGGAUCAUAUGUUAAGUGUAUAUUUAACUUUGCAAGAAACUGCCAAAUUGUUUUCCAGGGUAGCUGUACCAUUUUGUACUUCCAUCAGCAAU